AAGGUAUGGUGGUUAAAAUAUACUUGGCCCAUGGCAAGUGGCAGUGUUAGGAGGUAUGGCCUUUUUGGAGUAGAUGUGGCCUUUGAGGAAGUAUGUCACUGUGGAGGGGGGAUGGGCUUUGAGACCCCAUGCUUAAACUCUACCCAGGGCAGAAGAGUCUUCUGGCUGCCUUCUGAUCAAGAUGUAGAACUCUCUCCUCCAGCACCAUGUCUGCUCGGACACUGACAUUCCUUCCACCUUGAUAAUAGACUGAACCUCUGAAUCUGUAUACCUCCCCUCCCCCCAAUUAAAUGUCCUUUCUAAGA
rnacentral:lncRNA from 1 species